UACGGAGGAUGCAAGCGUUAUCCGGAAUGAUUGGGCGUAAAGCGUCCGCAGGUGGCUGUGUAAGUCUGCUGUCAAAGAGCGAAGCUCAACUUCGUAAAGGCAGUGGAAACUACACGGCUAGAGUGCGUUCGGGGCAGAGGGAAUUCCUGGUGUAACGGUGAAAUGCGUAGAGAUCAGGAAGAACACCGGUGGCGAAGGCGCUCUGCUAGGCCGCAACUGACACUGAGGGACGAAAGCUAGGGGAGCGAAUGGG
rnacentral:rRNA from 1 species